rnacentral:rRNA from 1 species
UGGGGAAUAUUGGACAAUGGGCGAAAGCCUGAUCCAGCCAUGCCGCGUGUGUGAAGAAGGUCUUCGGAUUGUAAAGCACUUUAAGUUGGGAGGAAGGGCAGUUACCUAAUACGUGAUUGUUUUGACGUUACCGACAGAAUAAGCACCGGCUAACUCUGUGCCAGCAGCCGCGGUAAUACAGAGGGUGCAAGCGUUAAUCGGAAUUACUGGGCGUAAAGCGCGCGUAGGUGGUUAGUUAAGUUGGAUGUGAAAUCCCCGGGCUCAACCUGGGAACUGCAUUCAAAACUGACUGACUAGAGUAUGGUAGAGGGUGGUGGAAUUUCCUGUGUAGCGGUGAAAUGCGUAGAUAUAGGAAGGAACACCAGUGGCGAAGGCGGCUAACUGGUCCGGUACUGACGCUGAUGUGCGAAAGCGUGGGGAGCAAA